GCUGCAGAGCUGCACUCAACACAGCCUCUCUGUAAUGUUUAUGCAAAUCUGCAUCUCCUCUUGUAAUAUUAGCAGCGUUCUGAUCUAGAGAGGAAACACUUCUCAUUAGUCUUCCUUCAACACAAACAUGUUUGCUUCAGCUCCACUGCUGCUGCUGGCUCUCGCCCCCUAUGUGUUCUGUGCUACUGAGCUCAUCCAGCCAGACUCACUGCUUAUAAAGCCAGGAGAGACUUUAACCAUCACCUGUAAAGUGUCUGGAGCUUCUAUCACUGAUAGCAGCAGCCACAUUGGAACAGCUUGGAUUCGACAACCUGCAGGAAAAGCUUUAGAAUGGAUCAACACCAUUUAUUAUAGUGGGAGUAUUGAUAAGAAAGAUUCAUUUAAAGACAAGUUUGUGGUCUCUCGAGACACUUCCAGUAACUCUGUGACCUUACGGGGACAGAACAUGCAGACUGAAGACACAGCUUUGUAUUACUGCGCUCGAAGACCACACAGUGACACGACAAGCUGCAGUGCUGCACAAAAACCUCAUCACAAUUCACUUCUUUAAUUAAAUAAUAACUACAUUUUACUGAGUAACUAAUCCCCAUAUUACAAUUAUUUCAGCAUAGACACCAACACUGGC